GGGGGCACACAACAAAAAAAGAGACGGAGAGGACAGAAGGAACAAAGAA
rnacentral:ribozyme from 1 species